AGAGUUUGAUCCUGGCUCAGAUUGAACGCUGGCGGCAUGCCUUACACAUGCAAGUCGAACGGCAGCACGGGAGCAAUCCUGGUGGCGAGUGGCGAACGGGUGAGUAAUAUAUCGGAACGUGCCCAGUAGUGGGGGAUAGCCCGGCGAAAGCCGGAUUAAUACCGCAUACGACCUGUGGGUGAAAGCGGGGGAUCGCAAGACCUCGCGCUAUUGGAGCGGCCGAUAUCAGAUUAGCUUGUUGGUGGGGUAAAAGCCCACCAAGGCGACGAUCUGUAGCUGGUCUGAGAGGACGACCAGCCACACUGGGACUGAGACACGGCCCAGACUCCUACGGGAGGCAGCAGUGGGGAAUUUUGGACAAUGGGCGCAAGCCUGAUCCAGCCAUGCCGCGUGUGGGAAGAAGGCCUUCGGGUUGUAAACCACUUUUGUCAGGGAAGAAACGGUUUGUCCUAAUACGGCGAACUAAUGACGGUACCUGAAGAAUAAGCACC
rnacentral:rRNA from 1 species